GACGAACGCUGGCGGCGUGCUUAACACAUGCAAGUCGAACGGAAAGGCCCUGCUUGCAGGGUACUCGAGUGGCGAACGGGUGAGUAACACGUGGGUGAUCUGCCCUGCACUUCGGGAUAAGCCUGGGAAACUGGGUCUAAUACCGGAUAGGAGCCAUUUUUAGUGUGAUGGUUGGAAAGUUUUUUCGGUGUAGGAUGAGCUCGCGGCCUAUCAGCUUGUUGGUGGGGUAAUGGCCUACCAAGGCGGCGACGGGUAGCCGGCCUGAGAGGGUGGACGGCCACAUUGGGACUGAGAGAAGGCACAGACACCUACGGGAGGCAGAAGUGGGGAAUAUUGCACAAUGGGCGCAAGCCUGAUGCAGCGACGCCGCGUGGGGGAUGACGGCCUUAGGGUUGUAAACUCAUUUCGCUAGGGACGAAGCUUUUUGUGACGGUACCUAGAUAAGAAGCACCGGCUAACUACGUG
rnacentral:rRNA from 1 species